UGAUUCAGAACUGUCACACUGAGAAGCAGCCACGAGGUCCUUCCGGAGGUGCCUGGGCAAACAAACUCAGGCACGCUCAGAUAAUGGGAUUACUGUGUCGUGCUCAAAUAAACGAUAAAAAGGGAGCUAUUGAGGCAUGGAAACACAGGAGGGAGACUUGGUGUGGACUGCUAAGCGAGAGAAGCCAGUCUGAAAAGGCUACGCACGGUACGCAGACCCACUGGGUGACCUUCAGGAAAAGUUGAUCAGAAAUGCAGGGGGGUGGAAAAAGAUGGAUGACCCUACAGGAAAACACUCAGACCAUUCUAGAAGGUGGGGCCUUCCUGGCCUUCUGCAAGAAAACCAUCCCAAGAGCAACAAAAAAGUUUUUUAAAAAAGAAAUCUAGCCCCCAAGGUAAUGUUGGAGGCGGGGCAUCUGAGAGGAAUUCAGGUCCUGAGGAUGCAGCCUCAUGAAAGGGAUCAGUGCUCUUCUAAGACGCCUGGGAGCUAGCUCACCCCUUCCUUUUGCCACGUGAGGCUACAGCAACAAGAAUUCCAUAGCCUACAACCCGGAAGAGCAUCCUCACCCAAACCUGACUGUGCUGGCGCCGUAAACUUGGACUUCCAGCCUCCAGGACCGUGAGAAAUGCAUUUCAGUUGUUAAUAACAAGCCAUCCAGUACUUUGUUGUUGCAGCCUAAGCUGAUGAAGAUGACAUAUGAUACUGAUUUCAGAAAAUAAUUUGGUCCAUGUGUUUAUUUUACAAUAAAGAAACCA